GUCCAUGGCCCUACUAUCCUAAAUGUACCUAAUCUCAUCUGAUCUCAGAAGCUAGGCAGGGCCAGCCUGGUUAGUACUUGGAAGGGAGAACUUGGCCAGAUCCUGUAGGCC
rnacentral:rRNA from 1 species